CGGGACGUCGUAUAAUGGUAGUAUACGCGCUUUGGGAGCGUGCGAUCAGGGUUCGAUUCCCUGCGUCCCGACCA
rnacentral:tRNA from 1 species